AGCUGCAGGCCUUGGGCAAGAUUCCUCCGACCCAAGCAGGCCUUGGGCAAGAUUCCAUCGACGGGGGAGCAGCGGGGAGAGGAACGUGAGGCCAUGGGGGAGGAAGAAGAUGGCCCCCCUCGUUCCCAAGGUUGGUCUUCGCGUGACGCUGGUUAAGGUAGUUACUUUCCUCGGAUCCAAUUUCUUUUGGUUGCCGUCAGUGUUCUUGACUAAUUUUGGAUCUCGUUUGCCUACAGAUUUUCUAUUCUUGCUCCCUAUGCGUCAGAUAUGUUGUUGUGUUCCUUGAUCUGUAAUUGCUUGUUGUUUUCAACUGUCUCAGUUUUGGUUACCUGAAGCUCAUCCCUGAUUUGCUCCUUUUCCCCUUGCAGGCUGGUCUGCUGCUGUCUGCAGGUGCUUGUGUUUCUGGGCGGUUCGUCCUGCUACCUCUUCGAUCAUCGCUCUACAGGUCAACCCAUUUUCUCCUUCACCUCUCAGCUCUAUAGCCAUGCGCUUGCGUUCUUGCGAGCGUGUGUCUUCCUUGUGUUCUUAUUGGUGGAAGUCUGGCAUCUAAGAGUGUCAUUCUCUGCUUGUAUUUUUGUGCUUUUGUCACUUAUAUGAAUCUUGGUGGAACCUACAUUUCUACCAUGUCCAGCUGAUUUGUUUGUUGGAACUGCUUGCAUGUGCCAUGUUGUUGGAGCUACCGAACAAGCCAUUGUCGUUGCAGAUAUGAUUUAUAAAGACUAUCCGUUGGACAAUAGUUGUAGUAGUUAGGUGACGACAAGAUGCAGCCAUUUGUAUAGGUUGUUUGUUUUGUUUUCUUGUUUGUGCAUGUCUUGUUCUUCAGGCUAUGAAAGUGGUCAAUGGCGUGGCAAAUAGAGUCCAUAAAAAUUGUUCGUUACCAUGCAGCUGUGGUAGAUGUGUUGUCAGGAGGGUGCAAUCUGUAUAAAACAUGGCCUCUGUCUAUGUCUUUGUCUGGUUCAUUAGUCCUGCUCUUCUUCGACCAUCCUUCGUUAGUUUAUUUGUUUCAUUUAUUAUGUGUAGAUCUAGGAGAGAUGCCUAUGAUCAUUCCUUUCCUACCAUGUGCUUGUGCUAAAUCGCAGUCAUGUAUUUUUUAGCUUUGUUUUCAUUCUUGAAUCUGUGAGCAUGGUUGUGAUAAGGUUUGUAGAUGCAGGGUUGUGUUGGCUCUCAAUGUCAUAUUUUCCCCCUAUCAACGAGGUCAUGGCUUGCAUUUCAGAUGAAUAGGUUGCUAUAUUACUAGAGUACUACUUGAUCUCUAUUAUGGUUUUACUGGAUACAAAGCAUAGUAACUAUUACAUCAUCUUAUAUAUCUUGUGUAUUGUGAUAUCUGUAUAGACACUGUCUACGUCCUCUUGACAUUCCCAGUUUUGUUUUCUAUAGCAUAUAUUUGACUCCUUUCCAUGCCUCUUGGUUCUGAAAGCGCUCUCAGAGCUCAGCGAUCAUGGGCCGUCGGAUCCGUUUGCUUGAUGCGUUUUCGGGCGUUGGAUCAAGCCGCUGGAAGAGCUGGGUCGUCGGAUAAAAAAAGGAGCUGUAGCAAUGAAUAGUUACCCCUGCUGUAAAGAUCUCGUGCCACCGCAUGUAAAUCGCGUGCCCUGCCGAGGGCAUUUUCGUAAUUUCGCGUGGUUGCAAAAGUCCCCAAUAGCGAUCGGGUGAGAUCGUGGAUAGCGAGCACCGGGU
rnacentral:lncRNA from 1 species